rnacentral:rRNA from 1 species
AGCAGUCGCCGCGGUAAUACGAAGAGUGCAAGCGUUAAUCGGAAUUACUGGGCGUAAAGCGUGCGUAGGCGGUUUGUUAAGUCUGUUGUGAAAUCCCCGAGCUUAACUUGGGAACUGCAUUUGAAACUGGCAAGCUAGAGUCUUGUAGAGGGGGGUAGAAUUCCAGGUGUAGCGGUGAAAUGCGUAGAGAUCUGGAGGAAUACCGGUGGCGAAGGCGGCCCCCUGGACAAAGACUGACGCUCAGGUGCGAAAGCGUGGGGAGCAAACAGGAUUAGAUACCCCGGUAGUCCCUGUCUCUUAUAC